rnacentral:rRNA from 1 species
CAGUCGCCGCGGUAAUAUGAAGGGGGCGAGCGUUGCUCGGAAUGACUGGGCGUAAAGGGCGCGUAGGUGGCGUGCACAGUCAGAUGUGAAAUUCCUGGGCUCAACCUGGGGGCUGCAUUUGAUACGUGCGUGCUAGAGUGUGGAAGAGGGUCGUGGAAUUCCCAGUGUAGAGGUGAAAUUCGUAGGUAUUGGGAAGAACACCGGUGGCGAAGGCGGCGACCUGGUCCAUUACUGACGCUGAGGCGCGAAAGCGUGGGGAGCAAACAGGAUUAGAUACCCCUGUAGUCCCUGUCUCUUAUAC